CAAUUCAGUGACCUGUGAGAAUGUUUUGGCACUUUUUAUGAGCCUGAGAAUUCUUGCAGUUUGCGUUUGCUACUCUUACACCUUAUAGGUAUGCAUAGUGAUCUUUGAAUUUUGCAGCCUUUGGCUUGCAGAACAAACAUUUUAUGAUGGGUUUUAAGGCAUCACUGGUGACAGUGUCCUGCUGUGCUGUGUCUUCCUGUGGU
rnacentral:lncRNA from 1 species